GAUUAUGAUUAAGAACAGGGGGGUGCAACUCCCAUACAAAGGAAAAGAACAUUCAACUAGCGCCAUCUUUAGGAACCGGCGAGGUCAUUUUUGAAACGUUUUGGCCUUAAUGAACUAAUAAACUCACUAGAUGGCAGAUACGAGUUCUGACUCAAUAAAAAAUGUUAGCGUACUUUGAAGCAGUGCUUCCACUUUUAGGGGAUUCUCCCUUUUUUAGGGAAAAAUAGCUGAUAUUUUGGAUGAUAAAGACAAUUUAAAAAAUACCAGGAUUUAGGAUAUUUCGGGGUAAAAAGCAAAGCCUAUACUAGUAACUGUUGUGAAUUUUAAAAUAAACGAUAAUUAAAGUAAAACAAUGAACAUUUUAUUUUAUGGAGAGAGAAUGACAUUAAGUCGAGUUGACAAGUAAAAGAAUAAAACAGAGUUGUGUAUAAAAACUAUAAAGGUUUGAUUCAACAGUAACCCUCUAGUAAAGUAAAUCAUAGAUUAAGCCACUGCUUUUUCUUAGGGAUUCCCCAGAAUCCCAAUAAGUAUAAUCCGCCAAAUUUUUAUUUACCUAUUUUCGUUGAUGUCACCAGAACUUACUUGUAUUGUAAUAUACAGGUACUUCAUGUACCAUGAAAGAUUAUCAUGGUAAUUUCAUUUACGAAAACCUUGUAAUUGUCAUUUCACUUUUGCUAGCAGUUCCUUCUUCAAAGACUGAGGUGGAAAGAUUAUUCAGUGUUCUCAAAUUUAAAAACUGACAAAAGAAACAGGCUUUCUAAUGAAACCCUGAACGGCUUGCUUCAUAGAAAGUUCCCAACUUUGCCAGCAAACAAUUGCUCAAUUUUAGAACCGAACAGUGUUAGGUUGUGCAGCAAAAGAAUAUAAAAGCAAUGCGUCGACUUCCUUGAAAAUUCUAAUCCUAUAGAUCUAUGAUCUUCUGGGGGCGUUUAUAUUAUAUAUACCUACAUUAAAUAAUAUGCUGUGGUUUAUUUUCUGUAUUUUAUUUACGCUUUCUAUAUAAAGGAUUUAUGAAAGUUGUCUAGGAAAUUUUAGGGUAAAUUCAAAAGAAACUAGGGUAACAUGUGUUAAAAAAAACGUAAGUGGAAACACUGCUUUGAAGUUUUCAAAAUUCCAGGGCCGUAAAACAAUCUCAAAAAAAAAAAAAAGUUUUCAAAAUGUCGUAACGAUUUAAUUUUUUAAAUCGUUUUUUUUUGGUCUUGGUAAUGUUUAUUAUUAAAAAUCAGCAUGCCUCGAAGAUCGAAAAUGAAAUGCUAUUUCGGAUGCCUUGAUAACGACAAAGGUUUGAUAAUGACAAAAUUUUAUGGAAAAAUUAUAAGGAGCACUAAAAUGUCUGAAACAUGAAAAGAUUGAUGCACUAUAUUUGAACCAGAACGUGUUAUGUAAUAUAUUAAUUUAAGAGAAAAUGAUUCAGCAAGGAACGUGAACUCUCAAGGGAUCUUAAUUUUUUUUAAAUAUGUUUAUAAUUGAUAAAUUAAUAAUUGAAAUAGUUCAUAAGAACUAAAUUGAUGCCAAUUUUGUUUUAAAAUAGGUUGUUUAGUUCUUAUAGUUAUAGUAUUACGUUUGAAUAGUUGUAAUUAGUAAGUUAGUAAUAUAUGAAAAUACUGAUAUAAAUUUUUGUAAAUAACCUUUUGUAAAUUCUACGAGAAGAUGAUUUUAAUUAAUGAUCAAAAGUCAACGGUCUUUAAAAGCAUUAUUUGCAAUUAUUUAGAUUAACUGUGGAAUAUAUUUGCUAAGUUGUGUUUUCUGUAUGAGCAGAUAUAAAUGAAAAUGCCCAAACAUGAUUAUGUUUCUUACAUUUUCAUUAUGUGAAAUCAAUAUGCUUGUGACUGAGUAUAUUAAUAAUUUAUUAAAACUUAAGUGAUAGACAGCAACCCCUAUGGCACUGCUGAAGUUUAUAAGCACUGGUGACCACUUAUCAUGGGCCGGGUUGCGUGCUCGUCUGCUGUUGAGUGCAAUAAAAAUUUUCGAAACCCUUUCUAUUAUUUAGAUGUAAUAUUAGUGUACAUUUAAUUUGGAUUAAAAGAUAAAUUUACAUUUUAUGUUUGCAUGUGUAUGUUUAUAAUUCAUUUGCAUGUAACGAACACCAGUUUCUUUUGUAACAAAAUGUAAACUAAUGGUUUGUAAUGAAUGUAAUUAACUUUAAGAUGAUUUUCUUUCAAUCUGCUGUUUGUUUCAUCUAGUAUUACCAAAGCUAAAGCAUCAGAAACGUCAGAAUAGAAAUAAUUUAGAUAGGGAAUAAAAGUAUAACUAAUGUAAUCAUGUCUAAGAUUACUAUAAGCGUCAUUAAGUACAAACUAUCAAUAUUUAAGAGUACUUUAAAUCAUCAUUACAUUUUUUAAACAUUUUUUGUUUUUCAAAUCAUGUAAUAAAACGUUUGUGCAGAACAAAAUGUCACAUGUUAUGAACAUGAUUGUGGGUUAAUCGUUUCUUAAAUUUCUAAAUGUUUAUAAGAAUGCUAAGAAUAAUUUAGUAUUCACUUUAGUGUGUGUAUUAUCUCUACAAUGCUAGUAUAAAUGACAAUUAUUGUAUGACGAAGCAUAGGUAGUGUUUAUAGAUGUAAUAUUUUCAUACAAGGUCAUGAUCUGUCACGAUCAACUUUAAGCAAGAACUGCUAUAGUUAAGAAACAAAUUUAUUAAAUUUAAUUCAAAUUGUCUACUAUGUUUGUAAUGGAAAGCUGACAUGUUUAUAUUUCGCACAAAUGACUUAAGUGACAUUGAAUGAUUUGAUUAUCUAGACUUAAUUAACUUUUAGAUAACUUUUGAUUUAAUGUGUACGCUAGUAGGAUUAUUCUAGAGGAGUUAUUGUUAUUCGAAAUUUUAUACAAUUUACGUUCAUACUAUCUUUUAACAGUAAAUUGUUUGUAAUAUAGGGAAAUUAAAUAGCUUACAGAGAA